AUUGAACGCUGGCGGCAUGCUUUACACAUGCAAGUCGAGCGGCAGCGCGGGGGCAACCCUGGCGGCGAGCGGCGAACGGGUGAGUAAUGCAUCGGAACGUACCCUGGAGUGGGGGAUAACGCCGCGAAAGCGGCGCUAAUACCGCAUAUGCUCUGAGGAGGAAAGUGGGGGGACCGCAAGGCCUCACGCUCUGGGAGCGGCCGAUGUCCGAUUAGCUAGUUGGUGGGGUAAAGGCUUACCAAGGCGACGAUCGGUAGCUGGUCUGAGAGGAUGAUCAGCCACACUGGGACUGAGACACGGCCCAGACUCCUACGGGAGGCAGCAGUGGGAAUUUUGGACAAUGGGGGCAACCCUGAUCCAGCCAUGCCGCGUGAGUGAAGAAGGCCU
rnacentral:rRNA from 1 species